rnacentral:rRNA from 1 species
UAUUGCACAAUGGGGGAAACCCUGAUGCAGCGACGCCGCGUGAAGGAAGAAGUAUCCCGGUAUGUAAAAUUCUAUCGGCAGGGAAGAAAAUGACGGUACCUGACUAAGAAGCCCCGGCUAACUACGUGCCAGCAGCCGCGGUAAUACGUAGGGGGCAAGCGUUAUCCGGAUUUACUGGGGGUAAAGGGAGCGUAGGCGGAUGAGCAAGUCUGAUGUGAAAGGCCGGGGCUUAACCCCGGGACUGCAUUGGAAACUGCAGAUCUUGAGUGCCGGAGAGGUAAGCGGAAUUCCUAGUGUAGCGGUGAAAUGCGUAGAUAUUAGGAGGAACACCAGUGGCGAAGGCGGCUUACUGGACGGUAACUGACGUUGAGGCUCGAAAGCGUGGGGAGCAAACAGG